UCCCGCCAAAACCCAUCCGACCCUCAUUCAUUAUUCAUGAGGAUCAUUCACCAAACGAGGGGGCGUGGCCACAGGCGGCGCGAUUCCGUUAUGACGAGGGGCGUGAUUAAAUAUAAAUAUUCAUGAGAUGGGCGGGGAAACCCGCGCACGCGCGCCUCUCGCGCCCCGCCCCCUCCCCCGCGCGCCGAAAGGGGCCGAGGGCGGAAAGGGCGGGAAAAAUCGUUAUUACCCAAAAGCGGCAUAAAUUCACCUAAAACAGGGGCGGAGUUGCCAAUAGCGCUGAGGAAACACCGCUGAAGGGACACGCUGUUGUCGUCUGUGGUUGGCAGCCACCAAACCGAAACUUAACUGUGUUGGUUUUUAAUAUUUGCCAACAUUUCUGCACCCAAACACAGCUGUGCUGCCUGUACACACCCGCCUCUGCUCCUCCGACCAGAACCCCUUUUAACCCCAAUAGCUAGCACAGUUUGAUUGAAAUGAAGUUUUAAAGAGUUGAAUUUAAAUAGUAAUAAUUUUUAAAUGGCGGUUUGGGGUUUCUUUCCCCCUCAGGGAUGCGGGGUUUGGUGACCCCACACCCCCAUCCCCUGCUGCUCCCUCAGAGCUCCCUGUGGGCGCCAGGCUGGGGGUGUUUGUGGAGAGGGGGUUUCUCUGAGGUAAAAAAACGGCUGAUAAAGUGUUUCAUCUCUGCUCCGCAUUAAAACAGCGAUAAUCGAUUUAACUUCGACCAGAUUGGACAGAAACAGACAAAUAUUAGACAAAUCCUUCCCAAAAACAUCGCUGGUGGCAAAGUAUUUUUCCUUCCACAGCUGGAGAGCCAAGGUGUAAUUUAUGGGAACACCAAAACAAUGAGCAGCUGCACCUCGGUCCCCAGGCAGAAGCAGAGGAGGAGCAGCCGCCGCUCCGGC